rnacentral:rRNA from 1 species
UACGUAGGGGGCAAGCGUUGUCCGGAAUCAUUGGGCGUAAAGCGCGUGUAGGCGGCUUGGUAAGUCUGGUGUGAAACCUCGGGGCUCAACCCCGAGCCUGCACUGGAUACUGCCUCGCUCGAGUCCGGGAGGGGAGAGCGGAAUUCCUAGUGUAGCGGUGAAAUGCGCAGAUAUUAGGAAGAACACCGGUGGCGAAGGCGGCAGCCUGGCCUGUAAAUGACGCUGAGACGCGAAAGCGUGGGGAGCGAACCGG